rnacentral:rRNA from 1 species
UACAGAGGGUGCAAGCGUUAAUCGGAUUUACUGGGCGUAAAGCGCGCGUAGGCGGCUAAUUAAGUCAAAUGUGAAAUCCCCGAGCUUAACUUGGGAAUUGCAUUCGAUACUGGUUAGCUAGAGUGUGGGAGAGGAUGGUAGAAUUCCAGGUGUAGCGGUGAAAUGCGUAGAGAUCUGGAGGAAUACCGAUGGCGAAGGCAGCCAUCUGGCCUAACACUGACGCUGAGGUGCGAAAGCAUGGGGAGCAAACGGG